CUGAGGGAUGCGUGGGCACCUUUCCCUUGUGCCGUCCAGGAAGGGCUAAUGAUUGGAAGGAAAACGUCAGCCCUUCUCAAGCAGCAAAAUAACAGCACCUUCUGUUUCCCCUGAAUCCACAUGAGUGUGGUGCUGUGGAAGAGGUCGCUGGCUGGUGUUGAGGGUGCCUCCGUGCCAGGGAGCACUCAAAGCUACAGACAUUCACCUGUGAAUGGUCAUGGACCUGACCGGCUGUUUUCUCUGCAUUUCUCCCCUGGCUAAAGAUGCGUGGCUGGGUAAAGUGAUUCUCAGACUUGACCUCUUGCUGCCCUGCUCCCACCCUGGAAUGGAGCAGGUGCCAGAUGGACACGGCUGCAGGUGCUGUGGGAGGUGAGUCGUGCAGCCACAGGGGAAAACGUUUCAGGAUCCAGUGUCCGUCCUUCAAAGUUGCUUCUAACAAGGAAACCGCUGCCUAAUCACCGGUACCUGUCAAAUUGGAAUCUCAGAUGCGACUGCUGAACGAAUCUCGACUCCCGCUGGAAGGCUUGGUGCCUCAUUCCUUUGAAACAACAGGUCACUUCUCAACUAUGAUUUGGCUUUAACCUGAAAUGAUCUUUGUGCAUUGUGAAGACUUGCUUCCCGCCGGACUUCCAGCUCUGAUUUCCCCUCCGCAGAGCAGGGUUCAGCGCAUAGCCACUUUCUUCCCACACACACAAGAAAAUGAAACACACUUCUGCGCUCAGGAAAAGCACCCUUCCUGCCCUUGUGUGGACGAUUCGGGAGCAGAACCUAUUGUCUCGGUUUGCAAAGCACAAAGGAGGUCACCGAUGGAUCGCAUCAGGGUGGAGGUGUGCCCCAGAUGAGGUCAGAAUAUUUGCAGCAGAAGAAUGGCAGCUCUCCCUGGCCAGGAGCGGGCCUGCCGCUUCUGUGCUCCUGACUCCUCCCCACAUUCUUCUGGUCCGGUUCCCACAGACAGACAGGGCGCGGGAGGUCAGAGUGGACGGAACAAAGGGGACCCCCUGCGGCGAGGCCUUGCUGGGCUGUCAGCACCAGUAAUUCAUGAGCGCACCUUUCAUCUCCAUGAGGAUCCGUGAGGGGUUAAACAGAGACCCAUUUUACAGCUGACAAGAUUGAAGGGGCUAAGGAGCGGGAGGGAGGCAAAACACCCUCAAAUUUAUAGUAUUCCAACCACCUGCUAAAAAUAGAUCCGUGCAGGUUCUCCUUUCAUUUCUCCCCACAUAAUGGGAUCUGUGUUUCAGAGGCAGCAUAAUAAACAGGCAAUGCACGGUC